rnacentral:rRNA from 1 species
GACGAACGCUGGCGGCGUGCUUAACACAUGCAAGUCGAACGGAAAGGCCCUGCUUUUGUGGGGUGCUCGAGUGGCGAACGGGUGAGUAACACGUGAGUAACCUGCCCUUGACUUUGGGAUAACUUCAGGAAACUGGGGCUAAUACCGGAUAGGAGCUCCUGCUGCAUGGUGGGGGUUGGAAAGUUUCGGCGGUUGGGGAUGGUCUCGCGGCUUAUCAGCUUGUUGGUGGGGUAGUGGCUUACCAAGGCUUUGACGGGUAGCCGGCCUGAGAGGGUGACCGGCCAAAUUGGGACUGAGAUGCGGCCCAGACUCCUACGGGAGGCAGCAGUGGGGAAUAUUGCACAAUGGGCGGAAGCCUGAUGCAGCAACGCCGCGUGCGGGAUGACGGCCUUCGGGUUGUAAACCGCUUUCGCCUGUGACGAAGCGUGAGUGACGGUAAUGGGUAAAGAAGCACCGGCUAACUACGUG